GACAGAGGAUGCAAGCGUUAUCCAGAAUGAUUGGGCGUAAAGCGUCUGUAGGUGGCUUUUUAAGUCCGCCGUCAAAUCCCAGGGCUCAACCCUGGACAGGCGGUGGAAACUACCAAGCUGGAGUACGGUAGGGGCAGAGGGAAUUUCCGGUGGAGCGGUGAAAUGCGUAGAGAUCGGAAAGAACACCAGCGGCGAAGGCGCUCUGCUGGGCCGACACUGACACUGAGAGACGAAAGCUAGGGGAGCGAAUGGG
rnacentral:rRNA from 1 species